rnacentral:rRNA from 1 species
GUACGGAACGAAACGGUCUGGGUUAAUACCUCGGGCUAAUGACGGUACCGUAAGAAUAAGCACCGGCUAACUACGUGCCAGCAGCCGCGGUAAUACGUAGGGUGCAAGCGUUAAUCGGAAUUACUGGGCGUAAAGCGUGCGCAGGCGGUGAUGUAAGACAGUCGUGAAAUCCCCGGGCUCAACCUGGGAAUUGCGAUUGUGACUGCAUCGCUGGAGUGCGGCAGAGGGGGAUGGAAUUCCGCGUGUAGCAGUGAAAUGCGUAGAUAUGCGGAGGAACACCGAUGGCGAAGGCAAUCCCCUGGGCCUGCACUGACGCCCAUGCACGAAAGCGUGGGGAGCAAACAGGAUUAGAUACCCUGGUAGUCCACGCCCUAAACGAUGUCAACUGGUUGUUGGGUCUCUUCUGACUCAGUAACGAAGCUAACGCGUGAAGUUGACCGCCUGGGGAGCACGGCCGCAAGGUUG